rnacentral:pre_miRNA from 1 species
UUGUUACUCCCUCCGACCGGUAUUACUUGUCUCAAAUUUGCCCAAAUUUGAAUGUAUCUAUGUGCAAAAAGCGUCUAGAUACAUGUAAUAUUUCGACAAGUAAUUCUGGCCGGAGGGAGUAACAU